rnacentral:misc_RNA from 1 species
AGAAGCUGCUAAUUAAGCUACAAAACCUUUUCUAAAAUGGCUGCUUCUUUUACCUAUUUCUCUUUCCAAAUCAUGCUCAUUGUUACACUCAUCUUCUCCUCUUCAAUAUUUGGUUCUAAUGCUGCUUCAACUAACACAAUUCACAUCCCUUCAAGAAGAUUUAUGCUUUCGGUGACUCCUUCAUCGACACUGGAUUGCUGGUGGUUUUGCACAUGUCUCUAACCCUCCAUAAUGGCAGCACCUUCUUUCAGCAUUCCACCAACCGAUACUAUGAUGGGCGGCUUGUGAUUGAUUUUGUAGCUGAAGCCUUGUCCUUACCAUAUUUGCCACCAUUUCGUCGUCUCAAGGGCAAAUCAUCAGAUCAU